AAUGAAAUACUAUUUUGGUAUUUUAGACAACUUGUACGUGAGACAAAAAGUUGUGUUGUGGUUUGGUGAGAGACAAAAAUAUCAGUUUUUGUCCUGUUCUUUGCCUCCAGUUUGUCCUGUACCUGAAACAGUUUUUCAAAUCAAACACUGGACAACUUGAAUUGUUAUGUCUUGUACUUCAUUUUUUAGCAAAUCAAACGCACCCGAGUCUUAUGCAACAAACCUAUUUGCCAUAAGUUGUUACCAAAUCAUUGGCAAAUCUUUGAUCAUGUGUUUAGGAGCUCAUUUCGAGCUAAUUAGUGAGGUGUGUCCAAAUAAAGGAGAUUUGAAUGAUAUGGUUACUAAUAUGCAUGAUAGUGUUCUUACAAAUCAAAGGAACACGGGUUUUAGUGGCUAGGUGUGUAGUCAUGAUUGCAUUUCAAAUUCUUUGGAAGUGUGGUUUUGCCUCAUAUUCGAUCGUCUUCAAAUAAAUUCAUGCACUUUGGGUCUUCGUUCGAUUAUGUUGGCUGGUUGGAUUUAUAAAAAUCUCGUGCUUUUUUAAUUGUUUGCAUGUAGUAGUUUAGAUGGUUCUAGGGAGACUUCUCAGUACAUCACCAUACUAUUGAGUUAGAUAUUAUUUGAGAAUUCAUGCAGAUAAUGUUUGUGACUUGUGAGGGUGUUUAAGAGAAGAUGAGAUCUAAUAACUUAGAUCCUUUUCCUUCCAUAAUUUAAUAGCAAAGAAACUAUAAAGAUCAUCAAUUUUGUAAAUUACGUUCCUUUUUUCUUUUAUUUCAAAAGAGCCUAACAAUGAGAUUCACAUUCACUAAAUAUUGAAGAGUGGAAAUUUUUUGGUUUAAACAUGUGUCUCAUCAUUCAUAUAAAAUGUCCAUAUAACUUUUUACUAUUUGAUAUGUACUAAGGAAUUAAGUAUUUUCUCUUUAAUUCAUAAAACAUACAAAAAUAUAAGGGAAAAUUAGAUUCACCUUCCCUCGGUUCGGCUAUUCUUAAAUAGGGCAGAUAGUAUUAUUUGAGCACUGAUUAUUUUCUGGUAAGGUCUCCACUUUCACUUUAUAUUGUCUUCCAUUGUUGUGCCGCUUGCCUUGCAACUUCCCCUGAUAUUAAUGGUUGUACAAUGGUUGAUCAAGGAGAAAAGGAUUGAACAUUCUUAUACUUUAGAGGACGAAUUGACAAAUUUCUUAUAUAUGAUUCUUUUUAAUUUAAAGACUGGAGAGAAAAAAUUC
rnacentral:lncRNA from 1 species